CCGAAGACUCUGCCAGAUAACAGAAAGGCAGUGAGCUGGCUUUCCUUUCCAGGAGCCAAUGAACUCAGACGUGGACUCUGGCCCCAAACAGCUGUGCGCUCUUGGGCUGACUGCCCACUGUGCUGAGCCGCCGUUUCCCUCUGGUGCCAAACGGGCUAAGAUCACCUACCUCGCUGAACAGCAGUGAAGAUGAGAGAUCACGGCAAUGUCUUUCAAGGGCCUAGUACGGAGCGGGCCGUGCUUUAGGCACCUUUAAACCUCGGGCAGGACCACCCCUCCCCGCUGGGACUUCAGAGAAAAACCGAGCCUGCAGACGUCACCUCGCUCCCGUUCCCUCCAUGGAACCUUCUAGUGCACAGUCCCCUUCUCCUCCCUCCGGCAGGGGCAGAGCCGUACCUCCUCGCCUGAAAAGAAGGAUCUGGAAGACCUGCGUUCCCACUGCUCUGUGCGUUGGCAGCAGGACUGAGGAUUUUGCCAGUCCCAAACCCUAUGGCUUGGAACCAGAAGGGGGGCAAGAUCUGAGAGAUUCUUUUGUCGGCUGUCGAUCAGAGGGCCAGGUUGGAGAGCCCAGAGCCCCGGCUGCUAGGCAGAUAAGUUCACGUCUGGGUGCUGCUGGGUUCGUGAGCCAGCGGCUGGGGAGAAGAUGCCAUUUCCGGUGGUAUCUGAGGCAAAUGACACGAGUCAGCAUUUACUUCUUUGCAUUAGGAAGCGGAAGACUAAUGACCAAAGCUUGAAGGCUCCGGCCCAUGUGAAAACACAAAGUGGCAAGUAAAUCCAAAAAUGUAGCAUUUUCCUGGAAUCUGGGGCUGAGCUGGUUUUCAUUUCACAUUUCUCAGUAAUUUGCGUGUAGCUUAUAUUGACUCUUAAACUUUGUUCUGUUUUAACAAUUCAGACCCUCAGCUCUUUCUACCUUGUGUGUGUUCCCCGCUGAGAAAGCAGAGUGGGGGAGAGAAAGAUUGGCGGGGAGGGCAGAGAAAGGGGAAGUGAGAAAAAAGAAAUAAGAAAAUGAGAAGAUUGCUCCCUUUUCUAAUUAAUUUUUCAUAGUAGUAAUCCUGUGCUGCUUUAGUUUACAUUAGGCUUUCAGAUCCUUUCCCUUGACCUUCCCAUGGCCCUGUGGGUAGAGGAGCAGCCCAGUCCAUGGCCACAGAGGACUACAGGCCCCAGUAAGCUCAGAAAGUGGCACACCCACGAGACCUGCUGAUCCUCCUCUGCUGUUCCACGGGAAACCUGGGAACCCCGCAGGGAACUGGAGGGUAUGGGGGGCGGGGUCUUCCGGUGGGUUAGAUAAGCGCCCUGCUUUGUUUUCCUGGGUUUGGAAGGACGUGAUUUGGAGGCCGAGGAAUACCCUCUUCCCUACAAAUACCAAGAUGAAAGAGAAGGAGGAAAAGAAUCAGAAAAAAGGAAAAAUGAGGAAAUGAAGCUCUAACAAUGUUCUUCCCCAAACUGUGGACCUUCUAUGGUGUUUUAAAUACUUUAGGACCGAGUAUUUCCCCAUCCCAUUUAAUGGUCUAAAUUAACUCUAAAAUGGGUUCCUCAUCCCACUUAAUGGUCUAAAAUAACAAGAGUAAUAGGCUCCAAAACAAUCCAGAAAUACACUCCCUCUGCACUUAGUUUUUGUUUGUUUUUUUAAUACUGUGCUGUUUAGGUAAAUUGGCCUAUAAAGCAACCCAGCUGCCUUUUCUUGAGAAAUGUCAUUUCACGGUACUUCAUUGAAUACUCAGUGUGUGGCUCAUGAAUUCCACCCAUUACACAUUGUUUUUAUUUUCUUAUCUCUUAUCUCUAUUUAUAAAUAAGUUAUUUUGCAUUUUUUUCCAUGAUUUUUCAUAUACUCGUUGCGUGUCUCAAGGCAAGGCUGCAUCUAGAACCCAAUGGAUAGCUUUGGCAUUUUACAAUUCAGAGUAGUGUAUUACAUAGCUGAAAAUUGGCCAUUAUUUGAUUCUAGAAAUGAGUUUCAACUCUUUCCAGGUUCCAGCUCAUCUGUGCAUUGUGAGGGUGAAAGGCCUUGUGAGGUCUAGGGAAGCAUGACCAGAAUUGGCAUAAUUCUAAGACCAGAGAACAGAGGAGCAGGAAUGAUGCAGAUGAUAAUCUUGCUUAUCCUCUUUGAAUUUAAAAUAAAAUUGUUUGAGACAAAACAGCAGAUUUUUCUACUGAUUUUCUUACUUCUAAGAACUUAUUACGCUAUAUGGAGACAGUAUUGCUGUCUUUUGGCCCCAUUUUGUAUUCCAUUGCUCAGUGAGCUGGCUUGCUUUCUUACCCACCAAACUUCCCCUAAAUGAUAAUGAACACUGAUGCGUGUAGAAGGUUUUACACUUAGAAUCUUGCAACAGACCCUGCUUAUAAAGUCAGGCAAGUUUUAAUCAUUGUCUUCCCAUUGCAGAUGGUGGAACUGAGGCCUGGAGCAAGCCGGAAUGACUGUCACCUUGAUGGAGUGCUCAGGGCACUUAGGACUGCGGUGUGUCCCCUUGCCCUCUCAGUGGGAGGCCAGACAGGGUGCACCGCCAUUGUUAUUUUGCUUAGUUUCGGAAGGUACUUAAUCCAUAUGGCAGGGAACUUCCAAAGGUACAGGUGGUAUGAGUGAAAAGUCCCUCUCCCUUUCUUGUUUCCUAAUCCUUCAUUUGUCCUGCCAGAAGUGAUGCGGUCAUGGACUUCUUGUCUAUUCUAUCAGAAAUAUUCUAUACAGAUAACCUAUAGCUCUCUGAAAUAUUUUGUUCUCUCUUCCUUUCUUCUUGAAGAGUCAACUUUCCUUUUUAUUUAAGGCAGAUGUCUGGAAAGAAGAAUACGAACACCACUUAGAACAGAUGUUAACCUGCAGAAAGUCUUUGGUAAACGGAUCAUCCAGAUUAUUCUGAAUAUUCAGAUGUUUGAAAUGGUACAGAAAACUCAUGGCUCGCGACAGCCUGUAAAAGGAGUUAGGUGAAGCUCAUCCCUAUGGUGUGGCAUUUAGAACUGACCCGGGCCCUCGUACCCUGUCUGGGGACCACUUAAACCUUGAUGUGGAUUUGAGAUAUGGUGACUGCAUGUCUAUUGAUGGUGUGAAUUGAAGCCAGAGCUAUGAUGCUGUGAAUAAAGUAGCUUUGGGGCCACACAGACUUGGGUUUGAUAAUGAACUUUGUCAUUUAUGGCUGCAUGAUGUUGGUAGUCACUGAACUCCUUGUGGCUUGAUUUUCUCAUCUGCAAAAUAAUGACAAUAACAGUGGCUACAUAGAUGCAAGGGUUAAAUGAGAACAUAGACCCAGAGCACCAGGUAUAUAGUAGUGUAUAAUAAAAUAUGUCAACAUCAUUAAUCGUGGCCCAUCCACUAGCUCUUUCAUUCAUUCAAUAAAUAAUUGUGGCAUUAAAAAAAAAAAAAACAAAAACCUUGCCCCUAUGGAGUUGACAUUUGGUUGGGGGAAUCAGACAACUAAAAUAAAUAAAUAAAUAAAUAAAUAAGUAAAAUAAUAUGUUAGGUAGAAGAGGAACAUGAUUGUUGGAUGAGGAGGAUGCAGGGGCUGUGGGUUGGAAUUUUAAAUGGGGUAGUGACAGGGUUUGAGACCCACUACCCCAGAAUAUGGCACCUCAGCAUGCUGAAUAUUUUAAGACAAGGGGACUCGAGAAACGGCUCGUGCUGGAAUGACUCUGGGGCCUCCCCUGAAGCAGGUCACAAGGCCCUCUUGAGAGAGGUGCUCUCCCCUUACCAGGAAGAAAGUAGCAUCCUUAUCUCCAAAGACACCAGGACUCAGAGAGGAAUCUAAACAAACAGGUUUUGGUAAGUUCCCCCAGUUUAUCACCCUUAGCUGGUAUCCUCUGUCCUACCAGUCUUCAUCAAACCCAGAGUGAAAAACACUCAGGCUUAACCUUGCUUUGUGUCUUCAUUGAACUUUUUUUUUUUUUUAAGAUUUAUUUAUUUAUUUAUUUGAGAGAGAAAGAGAGCAAGCAAGCAGGGGGUGGGGGACAGGGAGAGGGAGAGAGAAUCUCAAGCAACUCCCUGCUGAGUGUGGAGCCCUAUGUGGGCCUUGAUUUCAUGACCCUGAGAUCAUGACCUGAGCUGAAAUCAAGAAUCGGAUGCUUAACUGACUGAACCACCCAAGUGCCCCUCUUCUUGAAGGCUAAUUUGUAUGCUUUUCUCUUGUCAAUCUGUCUUUUGUUACAGAGACCUGGCUGAGAACCUAGAAGGGACCAACAGUGGUCUGGAGAAGGUCUCCCAGAGAAGAUGACAUUUGAGCAAAGUCCAGAGGGAGGUGAUGGAAACACCAUAUAGAAAUCUGGGGGCAGGAAGCUCCAAGCAGAGAGAACAAUAAAGAGGAACGCUGUUAUUUUUCUUAUCAUCUUGGGACGGAGUGCAAGCAGGCCAGAAAUCAACCUACGAAAUAUGUACUUAGAAUAUACUUAUUUCAGCAAACUGCUGUGUGUUUAUGUUCAAAUCUAUGAGUGGCUACCUUAAAAAAGGAUCAAAUUUGGCAAGUCACAAAACAGUAUGUGUAUUCUUUUUGUGGCUUGAAACAGUCUGUGUAUCCUUGAUGGAUCAUUUCUCUUCAAAGCACUUGCAUUUAGCACUUUUAAGCACAUAUGAAUAAUUUGUUUCUACUGAGGCACAAAGUCUUCUCUGAUAGUAUACUGAGAAUUUUGAGACUGGAUUAAAACUUGUCAUGAGUUCAAUUUAGUGGCUUUUUAAGAAUUAAGUUCUGCACUGAGUCAGUAUAUGCACACUUCUGUGUUGUUGAGGAGCAAGGCUGGAGUUAGAGUUUGGGAAGUUAUAGGUUGAGAAGAGCCAAAUUAUAAGAGAGGAAUUUAUAGAAGACCCCAUUCUGUCAGGACUUCUUAAAAUUUUCUACAGACUUUCUUAGAAUUCGUAUGUUUUAUGCAAGUUCUCUGUUCUGCUCCAAUACAGCUUAGUGGUUCAGAGCAUGGCCUUUGCAGGCAGAAAAGUUGAGUUCAAGUCUGAAACGUGCGAGCUGUGUGAUUUUUGGGAAAGUUACUUAACUUCUCUGGCCCAAAUCCCUCAGGGGAGAUUGAAUAUGCAAAGUGCUAAGCAGAGUGGUUGGCAUGUGGUAAAUGUUCAAUUUAUUCUAGAAAUUAGUAUACCUAUAUCCAUGCUUCAGUAACAUAAAAAUAAGCUUUAGAUGACUACCACUGAAUAGAAUAUAAACACUGACAGGUACCCCAUUUGAUGGCACAGCUCUGUGGACUGGUGUGUCCCUAUCCCUGCAGGAACAGACUUGACAAGUGGGGAAGAGGAAAGGCCUUAGGCCAAGUUGAGGCUCUGGGAGUUCUAGCAACUGCCCAAAUCCCAGCCAGCCUAGCCACUGAGCUUGGACUAAGGACCAGGCCUCCUGAAUCUCAGGCUCAUAGUCCCAGAGACACAGUUCAUAAAUUUUGGGGGGGGGGUGGCAAAAAAAGGUUUACAACCUUUUUCAUAAAGAAUAAUUUAAUAUCCUAGGAGAAUUGGACCUUGAAUGGUUUAGCAAUGUCCCUUACCUCUAAAUAAUAGAGGAUUUGUGAACUUUUAUAGAGAAAAACUAUUGAAAAACUAUUUAAAAACUAUUUAAAAUUGUCAGAUCGUGGGGAGCCUGGGUGCCUUAGUCGUUAAGCGGCUGCCUUCGGCUCAGGUCAUGAUCCCAGUGUCCUGGGAUCGAGCCCCACAUCGGGCUCCCUGCUCUGCGGGAAGCCUGCUUCUCCCUCUCCCACUCCCUCUGCUUGUGUUCCCUCUCCCACUGUGUCUCUGUCAAAUAAAUAAAUAAAAUCUUAAAAAAAAAUAAAAAUUUUACUAAAAAUAUGAAAAUGACUGAAAAUAGCACUGCAAAAAGUGGCUUCUGGUCAGACUCUUUACAAAUGAGUGUUUUUGCUUUAUAAUUAUAAUGAUUGACCCAAAUUGUAUUAUUUGUUUUAUGUAUCAAUUGUGUAUCACUAUUAUACCAAUAAAAUAGCAGACUUUUAAA